UACGUAGGGGGGCUAGCGUUGUCCGGAAUCAUUGGGCGUAAAGCGCGUGUAGGCGGUUCGGUAAGUCCGCUGUGAAAGUCGGGGGGCUCAACCCUCGGAAGCCGGUGGAUACUGUCGAGCUAGAGUACGGAAGAGGCGAGUGGAAUUCCUGGUGUAGCGGUGAAAUGCGCAGAUAUCAGGAGGAACACCAAUUGCGAAGGCAGCUCGCUGGGACGUUACUGACGCUGAGACGCGAAAGCGUGGGGAGCAAACAGG
rnacentral:rRNA from 1 species